rnacentral:rRNA from 1 species
ACAACUUGAGAGUUUGAUCCUGGCUCAGAACGAACGCUGGCGGCAUGCCUAACACAUGCAAGUCGAACGAACCCUUCGGGGUUAGUGGCGCACGGGUGCGUAACGCGUGGGAAUCUGCCCUUUGCUUCGGA